AGGACGAACGCUGGCGGCGUGCUUAACACAUGCAAGUCGAACGAGGUCCAACCUUCGGGUGAAGACCUAGUGGCGAACGGGUGCGUAACACGUGAGGAACUUGUCCCGGUCUCUGGGAUAACAGUUGGAAACGACUGCUAAUACCGGAUGACGUCGGAGCGUCGCAUGGCGCGCUGACGAAAGGGUUACUGGAUCGGGAGAGCCUCGCGGCCUAUCAGCUUGUUGGUGGGGUAACGCCUACCAAGGCAUCGACGGGUAGCUGGUCUGAGAGGAUGAUCAGCCACACUGGGACUGAGACACGGCCCAGACUCCUACGGGAGGCAGCAGUGGGGAAUCUUGCGCAAUGGGCGAAAGCCUGACGCAGCAACGCCGCGUGCGGGAAGAAGGCUCUCGGGUUGUAAACCGCUUUCAGAAGGAACGAAACUGACGGUACUUUCAGAAGAAGGUGCGGCCAACUACGUGCCAGCAGCCGC
rnacentral:rRNA from 1 species